rnacentral:rRNA from 1 species
CGCGCAGGCGGUUUGAUUAGUCAGAUGUGAAAGCCCACGGCUCAACCGUGGAAGUGCAUUUGAAACUGUCAGACUUGAGUAUCAGAGGGGAAAGUGGAAUUCCUGGUGUAGAGGUGAAAUUCGUAGAUAUCAGGAGGAAUACCGGUGGCGAAGGCGACUUUCUGGCUGAAUACUGACGCUGAGGCGCGAAAGCGUGGGGAGCAAACA